CCUACGGGAGGCAGCAGUGAGGAAUAUUGGUCAAUGGGCGUAAGCCUGAAGCAGCCAAGCCGCGUGAGGGAUGAAGGUUCUAUGGAUCGUAAACCUCUUUUAUAAGGGAAUAAAGUGUGGGACGUGUCCUAUUUUGUAUGUACCUUAUGAAUAAGGAUCGGCUAACUCCGUGCCAGCAGCCGCGGUAAUACGGAGGAUCCGAGCGUUAUCCGGAUUUAUUGGGUUUAAAGGGUGCGUAGGCGGCCUUUUAAGUCAGCGGUGAAAGUCUGUGGCUCAACCAUAGAAUUGCCGUUGAAACUGGGGAGCUUGAGUAUAGUAGAGGCAGGCGGAAUGCGUGGUGUAGCGGUGAAAUGCUUAGAUAUCACGCAGAACCCCAGUUGCGAAGGCGGCCUGCCAGGCCGUAACUGACGCUGAUGCACGAAAGCGUGGGGAUCAAACAGGAUUAGAUACCCUUGUAGUC
rnacentral:rRNA from 1 species